rnacentral:rRNA from 1 species
CCUACGGGAGGCAGCAGUAAGGAAUAUUGGGCAAUGGACGGAAGUCUGACCCAGCCAUGCCGCGUGGAGGAUGAAGGUCCUCUGGAUUGUAAACUUCUUUUAUCUGGGGCGAAAAAAGCCUUUUCUAAGGCGCUUGACAGUACCAGAUGAAUAAGCACCGGCUAACUCCGUGCCAGCAGCCGCGGUAAUACGGAGGGUGCAAGCGUUAUCCGGAUUCACUGGGUUUAAAGGGUGCGUAGGUGGGCUUGUAAGUCAGUGGUGAAAUCCCCGAGCUUAACUUGGGAACUGCCGUUGAUACUAUAAGUCUUGAAUAUCGUGGAGGUAAGCGGAAUAUGUCAUGUAGCGGUGAAAUGCUUAGAUAUGACAUAGAACACCAAUUGCGAAGGCAGCUUGCUACACGACCAUUGACACUGAGGCACGAAAGCGUGGGGAUCAAACAGGAUUAGAUACCCCAGUAGUC